UACGGAGGGUGCAAGCGUUAUCCGGAUUCACUGGGUUUAAAGGGUGCGUAGGUGGGUUGGUAAGUCAGUGGUGAAAUCUCCGAGCUUAACUCGGAAACUGCCAUUGAUACUAUCAAUCUUGAAUCAUCUGGAGGUAAGCGGAAUAUGUCAUGUAGCGGUGAAAUGCUUAGAUAUGACAUAGAACACCAAUUGCGAAGGCAGGUUACUAAGCAACAACUGACGCUGAUGGACGAAAGCGUGGGGAGCGAACAGG
rnacentral:rRNA from 1 species